AUACAAAAAGCGUGAAAGGCCCAAUCUAGAGUCAGUGUUUGGUUUCUGGGCUAUUGCAGAAAGAUAGCAGACUCAAGGAGGAUUGUCAGAUCACAAAACACAAUGAUUCUUAGUUUCAGGUGAAUAUACACUAAAGGAAACAUUAAAAUAUUCAAUUUUUGGCCCAAAAUCCACUUUAAAACAUAUUUCACUGCUGCACUUAAGCAGCUACAGUAUUUACUUAUUAGGCAGAUUUAAUUGAUUAAUUUCCCCACAGGUCAAGGUGACACAUUCAAAUAACUUGCUCUGUCCAAUCAACAAAGGUACUGAGAUUACAAUUAAUGCUGCAACAAUCAAAUCGAUAAGCUAUCGACUAAUAAAUCAAUCGCUGACUAUUUUGAUAAUCGAUUGGUUGGUUUGAAGAAAAAAAAUUAGUCAAGAUAGUUUGAUCACGGCUUCGUAAAUGUGAAUCUCUUUUGUUUGUAACGCGACUGUUUGUAAUAGGGCCAUUAAGGGCUAAAUCUCGGGCUUUGGACACUGAUUGGCAUUUUAUAAAUUUAUUUUUUUAAAAACUAUCUUUGAAUCAUACCACAAAACCACUGACAUUCACGCUCGAUGGUUCAGCCUUUGACCCAACUGAAGCUAAAACGGUGUAACGUUUAAUACACGUUGCAGGAGAGACUUCUCGGGCAGGUAAAGGUACUUACAGCACUCUAACUCUGAGUGACCGAGAACAUUUUCUUCCAGCCGAAGCACCGGGAGUUUUUCCCAAGAUAGAGCAGAAGUAGCUGUCUAGAAAUUUAAUCAAGCUCAGGAAACGUUGAUGUGGGAUCCCUGCCUGGGAUAAACGCCGUCUGAGGGAUUGCCUCACUGUGGCGUUCCUCUCGCUGGGGCAGCCACAGUGGCGGCUGUGUUCAAAUUAUCCUCUCAGCCUUCUCCGCUGCCAGUAUACCACACACUGACACCACUCUCACCACCAGGAGAGUGAGCGCCUGGGCCGGCCUGUCAGUCUGCCUCUGCAAAGGUCACUCCUACAAAGAGCUGGAGGAGUUUGGACAUCAGCCAGGAACAGUCGGGGGGGAUGGACUGACAGCUAGAAACAACAGAGACAGUUGGAUGCCUGCGGCCGCUCUGACGUCAGCUGCCCCUGUUAAAGGCCAGGAGUUGAGAGGGAGCGACAGAGAGGACAGACAGCUUCGUCCCACGGUGACCUCCUCACCUCUGCUGAGGUGAUUGCAGUGUUGUGACGGGGUGAUCGCAGCACACCCAUGUUGCUCAUCUCACCGCUUUUGUGGGCGCGCUUCUCCUUCAGCUCAGGAAGACAAACACUCUCACCCGGCUGCUUUAUUUUCUUUGGUACUUCAGACCCUCAGUGAUGCCCCAUGAAAAACAAUGGCAUUAAACCAAUUAUUUGAAUUUUAAA